GUGAAUCAUCGAAUCUUUGAACGCAAAUUGCACUCCCUGGUAUUCCGGGGAGUAUGCCUGUUUGAGGGUCAUUAGAAUAAUAAAGCUAUGCUUGGCUCUUUGUUUUUGUGUCAUCUCUGCGGAAUUGAUCCGUCUUUCAAAUUUUAAUUCAUGUCAAAUGAUCUUGGAAUUCAGCAAUCCUUUACGAUUGAAGCGUAUUUAACGUCGAUUCUGAAGUAGAUUUCUCGAUUAUGGACCUUCU
rnacentral:misc_RNA from 1 species